rnacentral:rRNA from 1 species
UGCUGACGAGCGGCGGACGGGUGAGUAAUGCAUACGAAUCUGCCCGAUAGUGGGGGAUAACCUGGGGAAACCCAGGCUAAUACCGCAUACCUCCUACGGGAGAAAGGGGGCUCCGGCUCCCGCUAUGGGAUGAGCCUAUGUCGGAUUAGCUAGUUGGUGAGGUAACGGCUCACCAAGGCCACGAUCCGUAGCUGGUCUGAGAGGAUGAUCAGCCACAUCGGGACUGAGACACGGCCCGAACUCCUACGGGAGGCAGCAGUGGGGAAUAUUGGACAAUGGGGGAAACCCUGAUCCAGCCAUGCCGCGUGUGUGAAGAAGGCCCUCGGGUUGUAAAGCACUUUCAGCGAGGAAGAACGCCUAGCGGUUAAUACCCGCUAGGAAAGACAUCACUCGCAGAAGAAGCACCGGCUAACUCCGUGCCAGCAGCCGCGGUAAUACGGAGGGUGCAAGCGUUAAUCGGAAUUACUGGGCGUAAAGCGCGCGUAGGUGGCUUGAUAAGCCGGUUGUGAAAGCCCCGGGCUCAACCUGGGAACGGCAUCCGGAACUGUCAAGCUAGAGUGCAGGAGAGGAAGGUAGAAUUCCCGGUGUAGCGGUGAAAUGCGUAGAGAUCGGGAGGAAUACCAGUGGCGAAGGCGGCCUUCUGGACUGACACUGACACUGAGGUGCGAAAGCGUGGGUAGCAAACAGGAUUAGAUACCCUGGUAGUCCACGCCGUAAACGAUGUCGACCAGCCGUUGGGUGCCUAGCGCACUUUGUGGCGAAGUUAACGCGAUAAGUCGACCGCCUGGGGAGUACGGCCGCAAGGUUAAAACUCAAAUGAAUUGACGGGGGCCCGCACAAGCGGUGGAGCAUGUGGUUUAAUUCGAUGCAACGCGAAGAACCUUACCUACUCUUGACAUCCUGCGAAUUUGGUAGAGAUACCUUAGUGCCUUCGGGAACGCAGAGACAGGUGCUGCAUGGCUGUCGUCAGCUCGUGUUGUGAAAUGUUGGGUUAAGUCCCGUAACGAGCGCAACCCUUGUCCUUAUUUGCCAGCGCGUAAUGGCGGGAACUCUAAGGAGACUGCCGGUGACAAACCGGAGGAAGGUGGGGACGACGUCAAGUCAUCAUGGCCCUUACAAGUA